AUCCAGCUGACGAGCCCCAAAUAGAACGAAACUAUAUUCUGGAU
rnacentral:hammerhead_ribozyme from 1 species